AUUGAACGCUGGCGGCAGGCCUAACACAUGCAAGUCGAGCGGAUGAGUGGAGCUUGCUCCAUGAUUCAGCGGCGGACGGGUGAGUAAUGCCUAGGAAUCUGCCUGGUAGUGGGGGACAACGUUUCGAAAGGAACGCUAAUACCGCAUACGUCCUACGGGAGAAAGUGGGGGAUCUUCGGACCUCACGCUAUCAGAUGAGCCUAGGUCGGAUUAGCUAGUUGGUGAGGUAAAGGCUCACCAAGGCGACGAUCCGUAACUGGUCGGAGAGGAUGAUCAGUCCGACUGGAACGGAGACACGGUCCAGACUCCUACGGGAGGCAGCAGUGGGGAAUAUUGGACAAUGGGCGAAAGCCUGAUUCAGCCAUGCCGCGUGUGUGAAGAAGGUCUUCGGAUUGUAAAGCACUUUAAGUUGGGAGGAAGGGCAGUAAGUUAAUACCUUGCUGUUUUGACGUUACCAACAGAAUAAGCACCGGCUAACUUCGUGCCAGCCGCCGCGGUAAUAC
rnacentral:rRNA from 1 species